AGUUAUAUUGCUGAAAAUUUAAAGUACGAUGUUUGCAAAGAGUUUUCAACGAAGUUCAAUCACUAAUUCAAUAGUUAUGAUGCUAGGAAAUCAAAGGUUUAAGUUUUGAUAUUGGGGAAUGUUCUAAAUAUGUUUAGGAUUCAUUUAGAAUGCUUUGUUAUGGUAGCCAAUGAUUAGGAAUUGAUUUGGGUACGUUUCUUGAUUAUUUUAGGCGGAGAAUUCUUUGUGGGUGACUUUUGAAUUCGUUAAAGUGGCCUAUCAGUUUGUUUACACAAGUCUCUAAGGAUCAAUAAGCAUUGUCCAUCUGCAGGUUUGAAGAUGUUGCAUCAUUGGGAUCGGGAAUAGAGAGCUUGUAUUUAGUUUUGAUUUGCUAAGUUAACUUGGGUUUGUUUAAUUGGACUUUAAACUUGUUAGUUGAUCUUAUUUUCGUUGAUUGGUUUUGGGAUUAACUAUGUAAUCGAUUAUUUAUAAACCUAAAGUUAGUUUUAUGUUUUCCGCUGCAAAAUUCUGAAUAAGCCGUUACGUUUUCA